rnacentral:lncRNA from 1 species
AUGGCAGAAGACGCGCUGGGGAAGACGGUCAAGCAGCUCAAAAGAGAGAGGACCACUGCAAAAAGCAGCUUCACCAGACAGGCCAACUUCAUUUCCAGAGGGGUAAGCAGCAUGCUUGAAGCAGAGUUAAAGGAGGAGUUCAUUAAACUCUCACACUGUUUUAGACAACUGCUUGAUGCCAAUGAUGACUGCAGGAUUGGACUACUGGCUGAGAUUAAAAAGCCAGAAGAGGAGGAGGAGGAGGAGGAAGAGGAAGAAGUAGUGCUUGAAAAGCAGCAAGAGCGCGACAUUAAAAGGACAGAAAAUGAAGCUGAAACAAAAUUUGAAGAAGUAAAAGAUACUGUCCAGACGAACCUGUGGUCAAGGUAUGGCAAAAAUGAACUCGAAAUGGCAAUCUUAGAAGCAGAAAAUGCCUUUGAUCAAGCAAAUGGUGUAGUUGUGGAAAGUACUAAUGUGGAGUGCUAUGAAGUGCACCUGACCCUCUUACUGAAGCGGCUAAAGGAGCUCACUCCAGUGAUGUCAGCUUGGGAGCGAUGGAUCCCUGCGUUAUCAAAGGAUGAGCUAGACAACAGAGUCAAGAAUCUGAGAACGGCUAGCAACAGGCUUGAACAUAGAAAAGCUGAAUUCGUCACUGCACGUAGAAUUGCAGAACAAACACUAGCCGCAGAAGCUUCAGGAGCUGGGAGGGGGAGAGCACUGCCCACACCAGCCACACCAAUUGUGAAGAUCAAGCCAACCACUCUGCCCAUCUUCAAUGGAUGCAAAAGAGAAUACCACAGAUGGAGGAAAGACUGGGAGAGCCUACAAAGGCAAGGAGAGCCAACGGGAUCACCUGAAGUCAAGAAAAUUCAGCUCCUGGGUAGUGUGGAGGACAAGAUUUCAAAGGACCUCAGACUUUCAACCAACAACACUGCUGAGGAUAUCUUCAGAGUCAUGGAGAACAGGUAUGGCAACAAGUCAACCAUCGCCAUAGAAAUCCUUGAGGAGCUGGAGAAGAUGCCACAUGUGAGGGGGAACCAGCCAAGGAAAGUCAUUGACCUCAUACAGUCUGUGGAGAGGGCCCUAGCAGAUCUCACAGAGCUGGGAAACUCCGGAGCCAUGAAUAACCCACUGGUAAUAAAAUCUAUUGAGAGUAAGUUACCUGACUUUAUAUUAAGAGACUGGUUAAAGUUUAUGGUCGACCCUGCAAAUGAUGUCACUUCAGACAACCACUUUGGCAUGCUCUUAAAAUUCCUAAAAAAACAGGAAGAAAUCCUAGAGAGGCUUGAACAGCUAAGGACUGUGGAGAAGAUGGAGAAAUCAGACCAUCCAGAAAAUAGAUAUGAGCGAAAAUAUGCUUCAACAAGAACCACAGAGAAAGGAGAGCUGGAGGAUGUGUGUGGUGUGUGUGGUGAUGGUGGACACAAAAACAAAAUCUUCUUCUGUAGGAAGUUUAAAUGGCUGAAGCUACCUGAAAAGAGAUCUGUCUUAGAAAAGCUGGGAGCGUGCAUAAAAUGUCUUGGAUGCCAUGAUGACGAUGGAUAUUGCAGAGAUACCUUCCUAUGCAGAAAUAAAGACUGUAAAGAGGGAGGAGGCACCCCAGACCACCAUUACUUUCUCUGCCCAAAAGGAGAACUAAAAAUGGGUGAGGAACAGAGUGGAAAAGGCAGCAGAGGUAAAAGCAAGCUAACAGAAGAACAAGAGGAGUUCUUGUCUGAACUUUCCCCAGAACUAGCAGAACAGUGCAAAAAGGCUUUCACCAGCAAAACCGCAGUUACCAGCAAUGCUAAAGACCAGUCAGAGCUUUUAGAGAAAAAGGGGCUGUCUGAACUUCCUGUCAUCAUGAUGCUGAUGAAGGUCACUGCAAAUGCAGGGCAGAAGAUUGGGACUUUGGUUGACCUUGGAUCUGACACUAACUACAUUACCCAUAAGGCUGCUGACAGGCUGAGGUUACAAAGUGAGAAGAUAACCUUAGUUGUGCACGGGGUUGGUGGAAUGACCAUGAAGGUGAACACUAAAAGAUAUGUGCUCAAAGUCAGAGUCAAAACUCCUCGAGGAACAGAGAGGGCACAUGAACUUGUCUGCUACGGCCUGGAUGAAAUUGCCAAAGUGCACAAAGUGAUUGAACCUAGGAAGUUGCAGAAAUUCUUCCCAGAGGUCGAGCUUGAGGAAUUGAGAAGGCCAAAAGAAGUUGAACUCCUCAUUAGCCACCGAGAGGGAAGACUCGCUCCGCAGAGGCUGAGAGUUGUAGGAGAUCUUGUCUUGUGGGAAAGUCCAUUGGGUAAGACAGUGGGCGGAGCACACCCCGACUUGUUUGAGGAAGUACAAGUGGCAGCACACGAGUCCAAAACACACUUUGCUCGCUCCAUGAGGACAGCUGCUGUCAAGUAUGAGGAAAUCCUCAGGAGUUCAACAACUGAGGCAGCCCAGUUACAACAGAAGUGGAAAGGACCAGAGUGGUACGUAAGCCAUCUGGUGGCACCAAACCCUCAUUCAACUCAACCUGCAGGUGAAGCAGGGAAAAAGAAGAUGAGGGAUGGCAAGGAUUUUCUAAAACAGGAGGUGAGACCAGAGACGCCUAACCCUCUGACUAGGAGGGGACUCCUAAGCCAAGUAGCUGGACUAUACGACCCAGUUGGCUUAGUUACAUCUGCCAAACAGAAAGGGGCAAUCCUUGUCAGGAAAGUGUUCCAGGAAGGUGGAGGCGGUAAGCUGACCACGUGGCAGAAUGGACCAGACCUCCUGAAGUGGUCAGUAGACAAGUGGCCUAAAAAGUCUGCUGGAGAGGUUGCAGCUAAUGCCAGGGAGAGUGUAAACAAACUCCAGAGGAAGGCAUUCACAGCUGUAGUGACAAGAGCUCAAGCAAAAAUUGGCCAGAAAAAAGAAAACAUGCAGACUCUUCAGGAGAACCUGAGAAGUGAAAUUCCAGAGGAAAGAACUGCAUCAAACCCAAGUCCUUCUCUUCCAAAAAGGAAACCUGCUGGCUGGGUAAUCAAAAAGCUUGUGAAAGUGAGGAACUUCAGUAGCUUGUCCAAACUGGUCAAGGUCAUCGGCUGGGUGGGGCAAGCAGCACAUAAGUGGCGCGAGAAGAAGGGCCAGACCAGAGGUCCGUCAAAGUGGGAGGCAAUGUCUCUCAAGAAAAGGACCAAGGGAGUGGCUGGGACCCUUCUCAGAACGAGGAAAAAAGCCUGGGUGAGUGACUUCACAACCAUGGACCUGUUCGGCCCUUAUGAAGUGAAGACGCAAAGUGUGGGGAAUUGUGUUCUAUUGCAUGGCCUCCAGAGCCAUACACACUGA